rnacentral:lncRNA from 1 species
UCUAAAGAUGGCUAGUUAUAGCCUGUUACAACCAAUUUCCUAACCGACUAGGGUCUAUCUCUAAUUUUAAACAAAAACGAAUAUUUACAAACGCAACUCGUAUCAGAGUUGGUUAUUGUACUCCCACGGGCCAACCUUUCUCUCUCUCCUUUCUCUGACCCACUUUAAGCCCACAUUGGCCUAAUCGCUCCAGCUUUCCAAUCGGCCGAUCUCCAUCCGCCAAAACACCGUAGCGCCAAUCGACCAAUUCCCAAUCGUGACCUUUUAAUCCACCGUAUCAGCUAAUCCUUUCUUCUCUUGACGCCGAUCCCAUACGUGUCAAAAUCUGACGUCAACAGUACCCUAUCUUCUUGACUAAAUGACCGGAGCAUGAAAAAUGUUCAUACAAACAAAUUGAAAAUAAAAAUUACACCGAAUGCAUCUUUCAAAUGGAUUAAAGAGAACAAUAGCAGCAGUAGCAAUCACCAGCAAUCAAAUUCUUCACCAUAAACUAGACUUCUCAUUAUGGCUCUACACCUCUG